rnacentral:rRNA from 1 species
AGUGAACGCUGGCGGUAGGCCUAACACAUGCAAGUCGAACGGCAGCACAGUAAGAGCUUGCUCUUACGGGUGGCGAGUGGCGGACGGGUGAGGAAUACAUCGGAAUCUACUUUUUCGUGGGGGAUAACGUAGGGAAACUUACGCUAAUACCGCAUACGACCUACGGGUGAAAGCAGGGGAUCUUCGGACCUUGCGCGAUUGAAUGAGCCGAUGUCGGAUUAGCUAGUUGGCGGGGUAAAGGCCCACCAAGGCGACGAUCCGUAGCUGGUCUGAGAGGAUGAUCAGCCACACUGGAACUGAGACACGGUCCAGACUCCUACGGGAGGCAGCAGUGGGGAAUAUUGGACAAUGGGCGCAAGCCUGAUGCAGCCAUGCCGCGUGGGUGAAGAAGGCCUUCGGGUUGUAAAGCCCUUUUGUUGGGAAAGAAAAGCAGCAGGUUAAUACCCCGCUGUUCUGACGGUACCCAAAGAAUAAGCACCGGCUAACUUCGUG